GAUGAAGAACGCAGCGAAAUGCGAUAAGUAAUGUGAAUUGCAGAAUUCAGUGAAUCAUCGAAUCUUUGAACGCACAUUGCGCCCCUUGGUAUUCCGAGGGGCAUGACUGUUCGAGCGUCAUUAUAACCCCUCAAGCUCAGCUUGGUGUUGGGGCCUGCUGCACUGGCAGCCCUUAAAAUCAGUGGCGGCGCCAUCUGGCUCUAAGCGUAGUAAUUCUUCUCGCUAUGGAGUCCUGGUGGAUGCUUGCCAUCAACCCCCAAUUUUUCUAUGGUUGACCUCGGAUCAGGUAGGGAUACCCGCUGAACUUAAGCAUAUCAAUAAGCGGAGGA
rnacentral:misc_RNA from 1 species